rnacentral:rRNA from 1 species
GAUGAACGCUGGCGGCGUGCCUAAUACGUGCAAGUCGAGCGAACGGACGAGAAGCUUGCUUCUCUGAUGUUAGCGGCGGACGGGUGAGUAACACGUGGAUAACCUACCUAUAAGACUGGGAUAACUUCGGGAAACCGGAGCUAAUACCGGAUAAUAUUUUGAACCGCAUGGUUCAAAAGUGAAAGACGGCCUUGCUGUCACUUAUAGAUGGAUCCGCGCUGCAUUAGCUAGUUGGUAAGGUAACGGCUUACCAAGGCAACGAUGCAUAGCCGACCUGAGAGGGUGAUCGGCCACACUGGAACUGAGACACGGUCCAGACUCCUACGGGAGGCAGCAGUAGGGAAUCUUCCGCAAUGGGCGAAAGCCUGACGGAGCAACGCCGCGUGAGUGAUGAAGGUCUUCGGAUCGUAAAACUCUGUUAUUAGGGAAGAACAUAUGUGUAAGUAACUGUGCACAUCUUGACGGUACCUAAUCAGAAAGCCACGGCUAACUACGUG